rnacentral:tRNA from 1 species
AAAGUAGUAGGUUAAUUUAAACCUUUUCCGUUCAAAGGAAAAAAAGAUGUUUUUAUCCUGCUUUU